GUAGGUGAACCUGCGGAAGGAUCAUUAACACGUUAUCCACGUUUCAUCAAACUCGCGAACUUAUCAGGUUUUGGGUUAAUAGCGGGAGGACGACUUCUUUCUUUUUCUUCUCUCGAAAGAGAGAGAGGAAAGAAAAAGUGAACUUCCUUCUUUCCCUUAAACUGUGUGUUUUGUCAUUUUUUGACAAACCUUAAUCACCCCCUUUAUAAUUUUUUCUUUUUUCUUUUGGUUCUCCAGGAACCCGAGGAAA
rnacentral:misc_RNA from 1 species